AGGAGCUUUCUGAACUUGGAGAAGGUUGGUAAACAGGAGGUUGACAGCCAAAUGUUGGUGCCCCCCUACAUCGAGGGAAUGGGGACUGUGUUGCAUGGAUGCGUUCCAGUUGGAGGAGAGCUUUGCUCUGCGUAGAUGCUCUUGGGUCAGGUGAAGCCAGCAGGAUUCUUGCAAACCAGAUGGAGAGAGAAGAAAUCACACAAUUUAAAAGAAAGAGGCAGCAAGGAUUCUCCCUCUUGCAACAACUCUUCAGCCGUAGGAGUUUCUGAGCCCGUCCCAAGAAAGGAUUCCUGAUGGGACAUUUCCUGUUCACAUUGCUGUCUUUCUCAUGAGAAUCCACUCUCAGACCCCAUGCCUCCUCGUGGACUCUGACAGAUGGUGGCAUCCAACUGGACCCUGACUGAGCAGAGUAAGGAGGAGUCAGGGACAUGAGACAAUACUGGUGCUGCUGGAG